GUAUAUAAAGCCCCUCUCCGCUGGUUUUUUCGUGCCUUUUCUGCCGCCGGGAAUUCUACGAACUCCUUGCUUCUAUCUACAUUCGCCAUGUCGCUGGUUGCAAACGAGGAUUUUCAGCACAUUCUGCGUGUGCUGAACACUAACGUGGAUGGGAAGCAGAAGAUUAUGUUUGCUCUCACUUC